rnacentral:lncRNA from 1 species
UUACAGUCUAAAAGCAUGAUUGUAUCUGUUUUAUCUAUUUUAUGAUUUAAAUGCAUGUAUUACUGUCUUACUUGACUACUGUUUGAUUUUGAGAUUUAAAAUAUGAUUGCAUUACUGGAUGCAUGUUCGUUUGUUUAUGUGAUUAUGUUUGAUUUGGUAACGGAGACUAAGAAAAAAUAGGAUAGGGGGUGUGAUCAAGUAAACAGAUAAGAUGACAGCCUCACUAGAUAUCAUGGGAGAUGGUGGCCGGACCGAGUUCAUAGAAAAUCCUAACGUGAACGUUGUCUCAUACCGGACGGGGUAUGGAGACUUGAUAAUUUGGCGCCCAUACCGGACGGGGUAUGGGGACGGCCCGCUUCACCCUCAUACCGGAC